UACAGAGGGUGCGAGCGUUGUCCGGAAUCACUGGGCGUAAAGGGCGCGUAGGCGGCUUGGCAAGUGGAAGGUGAAAUCCCUCGGCUUAACCGAGGAACUGCCUUCCAGACUGCUUUGCUUGAGGCCGGGAGAGGCGAGUGGAAUUCCCAGUGUAGCGGUGAAAUGCGUAGAUAUUGGGAGGAACACCAGUGGCGAAGGCGGCUCGCUGGACCGGUUCUGACGCUGAGGCGCGAAAGCGUGGGGAGCAAACGGG
rnacentral:rRNA from 1 species